ACAGCAGUAGCCACGGUAAUACGUAGGGUGCAAGCGUUGUCCGGAAUUAUUGGGCGUAAAGAGUUCGUAGGCGGUUGCUCAAGUCUGGUGUUAAAGCCUGUCGCUCAACGACAGCAUGGCAUUGGAAACUGGGCGGCUAGAGUAUGGUAGAGGUUACGGGAAUUCCAGGUGUAGCGGUGAAAUGCGUAGAUAUCUGGAGGAACACCGGCGGCGAAAGCGCGUAACUGGGCCAUAACUGACGCUGAGGAACGAAAGCUAGGGUAGCGAAAGGGAUUAGAUACCCCGGUAGUCCCUGUCUCUUAUAC
rnacentral:rRNA from 1 species